rnacentral:miRNA from 1 species
UUCUAUAAAUUCAUCCAUCACA